rnacentral:tRNA from 1 species
GCCGCCGUAGCUCAGCCCUGGUAGAGCGCCGGACUCAUAAUCCGGAGGUCCCGGGUUCGAAUCCCGGCGGCGGCACCA